UGGGGAAUAUUGCACAAUGGGCGAAAGCCUGAUGCAGCGACGCCGCGUGCGGGAUGAAGGCCUUCGGGUCGUAAACCGCUUUCAGCAGGGACGAAAUUGACGGUACCUGCAGAAGAAGGCCCGGCCAACUACGUGCCAGCAGCCGCGGUGAUACGUAGGGGUCUAGCGUUGUCCGGAAUCAUUGGGCGUAAAGAGCUCGUAGGCGGUUCGGCAAGUCGGAUGUGAAAUCUCCACGCUCAACGUGGAGGGGCCAUUCGAAACUGCCGUGACUCGAGUCCGGUAGGGGAGUGCGGAAUUCCCGGUGUAGCGGUGAAAUGCGCAGAUAUCGGGAGGAACACCAGUGGCGAAGGCGGCACUCUGGGCCGGAACUGACGCUGAGGAGCGAAAGCGUGGGGAGCGAACAGGAUUAGAUACCCCGGUAGUCC
rnacentral:rRNA from 1 species